AUUAUUAUUAUUAUUAUAGUAAAUGCUGAGGUUUGUGUUUGGUCUCAUUUCAAAAACCAGGGUUGAAACAUGACAUAGCAUGAAAAAGCGUAAGGAGAGUGAGUCCCUGAAGAGGACUUUUAUGUUUCUAUGUGGCUCACAUGUAGUGGACUCACAUAUGAGACUGAAAGGAUCAGAGCAUCAGGAAGACCAGAAACUGACAGACUCAAUAAGUGUUCACUUAAACCUGGUAUCUGAGCACUUAUUCACUAUUUAUAUUCCAUUUUUAAUAACAUUUAUGCUGGUGUCUGUACAUUUUUGCUGUUGUUUAAAAAAAUAGUUUGUCUUUACACACAUUUUGAAUUUUUUAUUUUUUUUUUUAUUAACCUACCCAGUUGCACAUUCCUUUGAACCAGAUUCGCUUUUGUUUUGUUUGUUUGAAGAAUUUUUUGGGGCCUUUAUAAGAUAGUAAUCCGUCAGGAAGGGGGCAGACGUGCAGCAAAGGUGCCGAGGAAGAGAGUCAAACUCGCCUGCAGCCUCUGUAGCUCCAACUACUGCAGAGGCAAAUCGUAACAUGUCGUGAGAAAAUAACUAUUUGUUGAACUUUCAUGCACAGUAUUGAUUUAAUUAAAGAUUUAUCUCUCAAAUUUUUAGUCUGCUGUUUUGUGCGAGAAGAAAAGUGUGAAGUUUUCAGCCUCAAUAUUCUGAAAGACAAUGAAACGUCAGUGUAUCCUCCCACGAGGCUCGCGCAGGUUGCAAAUAUGAUUGCUUUUGGGGCUCACUAAAUAUUUGAAGCUCUUCACCAGCAAACAGUGGCGAAUGUUCAGUUGCAGAUGCUCCUGCUUUUUUUUUUAUUUUAUUUUCAUUAAGCGUCUCGCUCCCAUCUCGAAGCGCCGUCUGUUUAUGAGCUAACAUUAAACAGACCGGGGGGCUGUGAGGGGCGGGAGCUGCAAGGCGCAAAGAGUGGCAGCCUCUCUCAAAUUUAUGGAGUCUGCUUGGGAACGUAAAGUGCCUCAUGCGCUGCUGAGCUAAUUAGUUUUAUAUACUGGCACUAGCAGUUAGCUGAACACGAGUGGAGCAUCGGUUCCCCCCCAACAGAGGGGAACUCAUAGAGGAACAAGUAAAAGAUGAGAGGCAUCAAAAUGAAAUUAAUACAAUUGUACCAAAACAUAAAUUAAAGAAGGGGUUCUUGCACCAGAGUCACAAUUUACUGUGGAAUUUUUUUUCAUUAGCUUUUUUUUUAUAUAUAUAUAUCAACAGAACGCAAAUAUAUAGUUGUGUGGAGGUGGGGGGAAAAUGAGGGCAUCCUAUUAAAUAUUUAGUGUUUAACUGAGGAAUGUUCCCAUAUUGAUGCGUAAUCUCUAUUUUUCCACCUCUGAAAUAGAAAGUAAUGAGUAAAACGAAAAGAUUAAAACUUUGUUUUACUCAUUAACAUGAGAUAAACAAAAAAUGUAUCUGUAAGCAAAAAAUCUCAAUCAAACAAUCAGAACUUUGUGGUUGUUGCAAAAAUGUAAAGUGAGUUUGAAUACUUUUGCAAGGCACUUGUUUUACCUGCAUUUCAUUAAGUGCUGGGACUUGGUUAAAGUUAGUUGAGGGGUCUGUAAUUAAUCGCAGUUAAUCACAUUUUAAUCAAAAACUACAUAUUGACAAAAUAAGCGACGUCUUCCAUUCAAAAACUCUUUUUGCUGUUAAAUUAUUGAAUAAAUAGACAUGUGAGCUCAACUACAAAGAUACGUCUUGUUCUUAAUCUGUUAUUUAAGUUAUUCUACUAUCAGAUUAAUGCAAAUUGCCACUAUAUCCAGUCAGCUUUCAAGAGUUUCCCCUGAUUAUUCAUGUAACUUCUUUCCAAAAUACUUCUUUAAACUUGUGGACAGUGUGCAGACAUUAGCGUUGGGGACGGACGUUGUUGCUUGAUGAAAUGUGUUUAGCAUUGAGAUACUAUUUUAGGCUUGAAUGGCUUCGCUGAUUGACCAACUCACAAAUUGCAGAUAACAAUACAAAAUCUAACCUCCGUUGUGCCAAGAGUGGCCGCUAUAUCCAGUCAGCUUUCACCUACAGUUAUAGUUAGGCUUCAGACUUACGGACGGACCAGAAACACGCAAAUACGAUGUCUCCAAAGAAAAUAGGGUUUAAUUGUGUUUAAAUCUACAUAAAGUUUUGUCCCUAAUCUUCUUUCCUUUUACCAUGUAAUAUAGACAUUUCAUGCUCUUAAAAGUUACAGUUAAGGUUUAUAAAGAAAGUAAGUAAUAAAUGUUCUGGAACAUGUUUCAAGUGUCACAUGUUUCAAGUAAUAGACCAGCACAAAGAAGUGUAUAAUUGUAGGUGAAAGGAGGGAGUGCUGUGAAAUACGGCAGUGGCAGGAUCAUGCUAUGGGGACAGUUCUCUUCAGCGGGGAAUUUGAACAGAGUAGUUGGGUGAGAUGGACGGAUUUAAACACAGGACACAGGAGAUUCACCCGGACGUCAUCAGCGAACAUACAACCAGAGCUGCAGAUUAAAAUGUUCAGAUCCAAACAAAAACGUAUAUUUCUCUCUCAGACUGGUCAAGUUGUGAUGCAUUUUGAAAUAAAGCCGAGAUAUGUUACUAUUUACAGUUAAAAGACAUCAUAUGCUAAAUAUGCAUUUGAAUAGGUUGUCAGUUGCACAUGCACAGAGAACAUAAGUAUGAAUAAAAUUACUCUAUAUGUUUUCAAAGAAAUCAAGCCCCUUAAAUCUUGUCUACAUGCUGUGAACUUUGUGGCAGCCACGCUAACUCAGCAGUUUGGAGAUGAGGAUGCUUUGAGUUGGGCCUCGUAUGAUCCAAGCUUCUGCCUUUCCCUGAUUUUUACUCAGUCUGCUUUCUCCCUCGCAGUUUCACCGUAAUUAAUGUGUGUUUUAAAGUCGUGCACAACCGUACACACACUGACUGUAUUAUUUUUGCCAAGAGAUUCGUUGACUUUUCCAAGCGGAUCAACCGAAAAUGCGCAUUGCUUAUCAGCAAGACGUCAGCAAAAUACGGUAAAUACAAAUGCGGUCUAACAUCAGGAAAUGUUCUGUUGCUGCAGUAAUGCACUUCAAGUUUUUCUUUCUCUUUUCCCCUCACUGGUAUUUCUGGCCUGGUGAGUCUGUGUUUGUUUGUGUCCUUUCCCUCUCACCCCACAGCUGCUUAGUGCAGAUGGUCGUCCUUCCUGGAGUUUCAUUAUGACAGGGACAAUGGAUGAUGCAUAAACUCAGAACCCAUUAAUAAAAUAUUUUUCUCUUUAUUUUUUUACCUCUUACUUCUAGACAACAGGGUCUGCAACCUGCGGCUGCAGGGCUGCAUUUGACUCUUUUCACCAAAGGCGCUCUUAAUAAUUUUGUUCAAAGACUAUCGAGGCUUUUUCUCUUUGCAACUAAUGAGAUAAACUUUUUUUUUUUAGUUCAAUCAUUUAUUUAUUUUUUUUCAUAAGACUGUGUACAAGCGUUUCUUCAUUUUCCAUAAACAUGGGACUUUCCGAUCAAUAAAACACAUAUGUUUAUUUUGUUUUAUUUAAAUGGAUUUACAAUUUUAUUUUAUUUUUUAGCUAAAUAAAAAACAACAGAAAAUAUUGUCUCUUGAAUCUUGGAUAACUAUUCUGACCCGCCUUACUCAUCUAUAUUCUGCUGAAAUAAACAAUAUGUUUUCCCAGUUACUGGCCAUCUGCGGGCGACUGGAUAAAUCUAAAGGUAUCACUAACUGCAUUUUAGAGCAAAACCCUUUAAGACACAACUAGAACCAAGCGCCAUGCGAUCACCUGGUGACCUGUCCGAGGCAAAUCCCUCAUAAUGACUGUUGGACACAAACGCCAGCCCAGCCGUGACCCAAAGUGCUCAGGGUUUCCUACCUGCUUGGGAACCUGAGGCACCUCAGUUUACACAGGCCGGGUUUAUAAAUGCAAAUGUUACAUGUUAAGCUACAUUGCAGCAUAUUUUUACUAUUUGCGUUGAGAUCAACUAAUAAGAACCUUUUUUUUCUCUCUAUGUACUUACUUGAGAAAAUGUAAGUUACAUUUUGCUGCGGCUCACCACACAGGGUGAUACAGCUUCAAACUGGGGGCGCCACCCCACAAGCGACCCAGUGUUCAUGUGCAAGUGACACAAGCGACCCAGUGUUUGUUCAGUGUAAAAACUCUGAAAAAAUACUGCUUAGGGUAUAUUAUGAAACUGAAGUUGGAGUCAGGUGUGCAAACAUUCUACUGGGUAAUAAAUUAAAGGUGCAUUUCACUGUUUUCUGGAAUCUGGGCUACACUUGGUCAUCUCAAGUUCUAAAAUAAUCAGAUCCAACUUGAUCUGGAUCAUUCUUCACAAAAUGAUUUUCUGAAACACACUUGGAAAUCCAUUAAGUCUAUAUUUAAAGCUUAAUGCUUUAAAAAAAAAGUAUUAUCAAAAAAGUAAAAGUAGUAUAUAAAUAGCACUAUACAACCCAUUUUUUACCAGCGGUCCUUUUGUACAUCAAAACAGUUGGAUAUUUUGUCCAGCUAAUCAUAUAUCUGAGGCCAGAUCUUGGUUUCCCCAAAACCAUCCUGUUCUUAAUUAAUGCUAAAACAAGUUCUUCAAAUGACCAGGCUGCAACACAGAUUCUGCUGGAAACUAGAUCAAUUUGUGCCACAGGCCUCGGAUGCAACCAGCUAAUGUUCUGUGGCAUUUAAAGAAACUAAAGAACCAGAUCCCAUUUCAAUUUGCAUAAUUUUACUUAUUCAGUAAGUAAACAGGCAAAAUACAUGUGAUCAUUUCAGUGGUAAUAUAGCAGAUUUCACUAUAGAAAGGACACCAAAUAUCUUCCUUUGCCAGAUCUCAUAAAGCAGAACCCAAUUUGGGUGUUGAAUAAAUAAUUUAACGAUGUCGCCGCUUUUUCCACAUUUCAGGAAAUCAAUCCUGCAGGGAUAUUUAGGGUUAGGAUGAGACAGGGUGCAAAUUAAAACUGCUGGCCUUGUCGAAUUAAGACAUUUUCACUACGCAAAUUCGCCGCCUCUUUUUACGACCUAAAGGAGAACUUGAUAGACUUUCUGCAUUUUACAUUGUGCCAAAUAAAAUAAUUAGCACGCAUUUAGUCAUUCAGAAGCCACCAGUGCACGGAAAACAAAUUACUCCCGUAAACUGUUUCCCAUUUUAAGUGAGCGUGAUGCGUUGGCUUCGAUUGAGUGGGAGACUUUUAGAGGCACUGAGACGUGGCUGUACCAACUCACCCUGAAGCCUUUCGCAGAGAUCGGGGCUUUGUAGAGGCAGUUCAUGCGGUCGGAGCAACAUGAGCAAAUCCCCGUGUUAUUGGGACGUGUUCUCUCUGGUAUGGUAGCAGGGAUUUAUCUGCUGACUCAGCCUCUCAUACAGAUUAGCCGGGACAGGAGAGUCACCGAGGUGCAUGUUUAAAGGACAAGUUUGACAGACCAGGAUGAUCAACACUAAAUGGCUGGGAUAAAAGCCUCUGGAAUCACAUCCUGCGGCCAGGUUUUAUGUACAGCAUGUGCAUGAAAGCAAAGCGCACACUUCCUUGCUUGCUUCUCUCUGGUUUUGGUGAGAAAUAAAUUACAAUGUCAUUAACAAUGUGUCAGAAGGCUCCAUAAGGAUGAAACCUCCAAAUACAACACCGUUUGGGGAAUUGGUAAACAGCUAACAUCUGAAUAUGUAACAUCCAAAUGUCUUGUGGAGACAAGUUUUAUGGUCGAGUAAAAGAAACGCUGAGGAAAAAUACAAAAGUGAACUUUUAUGGAGCAGCCAACAGUUCCCGGUAUGUUCUGUAUGAUAUCUUAAUGGCAUGUCACAAAUAGAGUGAAAUUACAGAAACAUUUUGUUCUACCCAAGUGACUCUUUUGCUACAGAUGUUUGUUUCCACAUUUUGAUGCAGCCAUAAUUAGCUGUGUUACAUUUGGAUCGACCAUAGUUCAUUAUGAAGAAGGAAAGCUUCAGUUCAAAUCAAUAGUUGGACUAUUUGGUGUAUCAACAGGAUAAAGAGCCAAGAAAGAGUUGUUGAAAGUUUGCUCUGUGCAACUAUUUUGACACAUAUUUGCUUCUAUAAUUUAGAUUCUGUGUGCAUUAGAAGAUCUGCAAUAAAUUCCAUCUUUUGUACCCAAUCCUGUUUUUUUUUUUUGUUGUUGUUGUUUUUGUUUUAGGUGUUGUUGGGUCUGGUGGUAUUUAUUUGAAAGUGAUCAGACAGGCAAGUGGGCAAAGAGAGAAGGGGAAGACACACGGUAAAUGCCACCAGGUCGGGACUCGAACCUGCGCUACUACAGCACCCUCUGCUUUAUUACAUACGCCAUUAAAGCUCUGAAUAAAAACAGCCUUCAUGCCAUGAAUUUCUGUUAAGUUCUCACACUGUUCACUUCAGCACUGCAAUCAUGUUACUGUGUGUUAAGUGACAUCUGGCGCAAGCCUGUCCUACUUAAAGUUUUUAGAUUCACUAACCAGGUUCUGCCUGCGUCUUAGUGUUGAGCGACCAGCUGCAACCAGUCCACUUAUUAAAAGGAGUGCAGACUCAACACUUUGAAUUACUACUGCACAUGAGAGCUCUAGUAGAUAAACUCCUGAGAGAAACUACGUUAUUCUGUAACUGCAAGGAUAAAGGGUUGGGGAAAGUGGUGGUUAUUAAUUAAGUUAUACUGUAAGAAGAGUUGGAACAUGGGAGUUUCAAAGAUUUUGUGUUUCAUUUCUUGGUUUGCUUUCUUGUCUGCCAAGCACAGCUGUAAGUAAUCAUUACUGAAAUCUCUCCUGCUUAAUAUUGAACUGUUUGACAUAUGAGGAUAAGAGGAAAUGCAUCCUAAUAAAAUGACUAAUUGUUCCCCAUACACACA